UACGAAGGGUGCAAGCGUUACUCGGAAUCACUGGGCGUAAAGCGUGCGUAGGCGGUUCGUUAAGUCUGCUGUGAAAGCCCUGGGCUCAACCUGGGAACUGCAGUGGAUACUGGCGGACUAGAGUGUGAUAGAGGAUGGUGGAAUUCCCGGUGUAGCGGUGAAAUGCGCAGAUAUCGGGAGGAACACCGGUGGCGAAGGCGGUUCUCUGGGCCUUACCUGACGCUGAGGAGCGAAAGCGUGGGGAGCGAACAGG
rnacentral:rRNA from 1 species